GAUGAACGCUGGCGGCGUGCCUAAUACAUGCAAGUCGAGCGGACUGAUUAGAAGCUUGCUUCUAUGACGUUAGGGGCGGACGGGUGAGUAACACGUGGGCAACCUGCCUGUAAGACUGGGAUAACUUCGGGAAACCGAAGCUAAUAACGGAUUGGUACUUCUCCUUCAUGGGAUAUGAUUGAAAGCUGGUUUCGGCUAUCACUUACAGAUGGGCCCGCGGUGCAUUAGCUAGUUGGUGAGGUAACGGCUAACCAAGGCAACGAUGCAUAGCCGACCUGAGAGGGUGAUCGGCCACACUGGGACUGAGACACGGCCCAGACUCCUACGGGAGGCAGCAGUAGGGAAUCUUCCGCAAUGGACGAAAGUCUGACGGAGCAACGCCGCGUGAGUGAUGAAGGCUUUCGGGUCGUAAAACUCUGUUGUUAGCGAAGAACAAGUAUGAGAGUAACUGCUCGUACCUUGACGGUACCUAACCAGAAAGCCACGGCUAACUACGUGCCAGCCGCCGCCGUAAGAC
rnacentral:rRNA from 1 species